GGUUGGGCAAGGUGCGGGGCUAGGGCUAACAGCAGUCUUACUGAAGGUUUCCUGGAAACCAUGCACAUGCUGUUGCCACUAACCUCAACCUUACUCGGUC
rnacentral:pre_miRNA from 13 species